rnacentral:rRNA from 1 species
GAUGAUCGCUGGCGGCGUGCCUAAUACAUGCAAGUCGAGCGAACGGACGAGAAGCUUGCUUCUCUGAUGUUAGCGGCGGACGGGUGAGUAACACGUGGAUAACCUACCUAUAAGACUGGGAUAACUUCGGGAAACCGGAGCUAAUACCGGAUAAUAUUUUGAACCGCAUGGUUCAAAAGUGAAAGACGGUCUUGCUGUCACUUAUAGAUGGAUCCGCGCUGCAUUAGCUAGUUGGUAAGGUAACGGCUUACCAAGGCAACGAUGCAUAGCCGACCUGAGAGGGUGAUCGGCCACGCUGGAACUGAGACACGGUCCAGACUCCUACGGGAGGCAGCAGUAGGGAAUCUUCCGCAAUGGGCGAAAGCCUGACGGAGCAACGCCGCGUGAGUGAUGAAGGUCUUCGGAUCGUAAAACUCUGUUAUUAGGGAAGAACAUAUGUGUAAGUAACUGUGCACAUCUUGACGGUACCUAAUCAGAAAGCCACGGCUAACUACGUG